AAAAAGACAAACCCUGGUUUCCGUGCCCAACGUUUGACCGUCCGUCUUAUUAAAAAAUUAUAAAAAAAAAUUAAAAAGACAAGUUACGCAUAAAAUAUUAAUCAUGUUUUAUCAUCUAACAACAAUGAAAAUACGAAUUAUAAAAAAAUUUCAUAUAAGACAGACAGUCAAAGUUGGACACGGAAACCUAGGGUUUGCUUUUUU
rnacentral:pre_miRNA from 1 species